GACGAACGCUGGCGGCGUGCCUAAUACAUGCAAGUAGAACGCUGAAGGAGGAGCUUGCUCUUCUGGAUGAGUUGCGAACGGGUGAGUAACGCGUAGGUAACCUGCCUGGUAGCGGGGGAUAACUAUUGGAAACGAUAGCUAAUACCGCAUAACAGUAGAUGUUGCAUGACAUUUACUUAAAAGGUGCAAUUGCAUCACUACCAGAUGGACCUGCGUUGUAUUAGCUAGUUGGUGGGGUAACGGCUCACCAAGGCGACGAUACAUAGCCGACCUGAGAGGGUGAUCGGCCACACUGGGACUGGGACACGGCCCAGACUCCUACGGGAGGCAGCAGUAGGGAAUCUUCGGCAAUGGACGGAAGUCUGACCGAGCAACGCCGCGUGAGUGAAGAAGGUUUUCGGAUCGGAAAGCUCUGUUGUAAGAGAAGAACGAGUGUGAGAGUGGAAAGUUCACACUGUGACGGUAUCUUACCAGAAAGGGACGGCUAACUACGUG
rnacentral:rRNA from 1 species